GAGCCGGUGGUAUAAGCCGUAGCAUAGCUGCCCGGAAAGCAGAAAGUGCGGGUUCGAGUCCCGCCUGGCGCA
rnacentral:tRNA from 1 species